AUGAACGCUAGCUACAGGCUUAACACAUGCAAGUCGAGGGGCAGCAUGAACUUAGCUUGCUAAGUUUGAUGGCGACCGGCGCACGGGUGAGUAACACGUAUCCAACCUGCCGAUGACUCGGGGAUAGCCUUUCGAAAGAAAGAUUAAUACCCGAUGGCAUAGUUCUUCCGCAUGGUAGAACUAUUAAAGAAUUUCGGUCAUCGAUGGGGAUGCGUUCCAUUAGGUUGUUGGCGGGGUAACGGCCCACCAAGCCUUCGAUGGAUAGGGGUUCUGAGAGGAAGGUCCCCCACAUUGGAACUGAGACACGGUCCAAACUCCUACGGGAGGCAGCAGUGAGGAAUAUUGGUCAAUGGACGAGAGUCUGAACCAGCCAAGUAGCGUGAAGGAUGACUGCCCUAUGGGUUGUAAACUUCUUUUAUACGGGAAUAAAGUGAGGCACGUGUGCCUUUUUGUAUGUACCGUAUGAAUAAGGAUCGGCUAACUCCGUGCCAGCAGCCGCGGUAAUACGGAGGAUCCGAGCGUUAUCCGGAUUUAUUGGGUUUAAAGGGAGCGUAGGCGGACGCUUAAGUCAGUUGUGAAAGUUUGCGGCUCAACCGUAAAAUUGCAGUUGAUACUGGGUGUCUUGAGUACAGUAGAGGCAGGCGGAAUUCGUGGUGUAGCGGUGAAAUGCUUAGAUAUCACGAAGAACUCCGAUUGCGAAGGCAGCCUGCUGGACUGUAACUGACGCUGAUGCUCGAAAGUGUGGGUAUCAAACAGGAUUAGAUACCCUGGUAGUCCACACAGUAAACGAUGAAUACUCGCUGUUUGCGAUAUACAGUAAGCGGCCAAGCGAAAGCGUUAAGUAUUCCACCUGGGGAGUACGCCGGCAACGGUGAAACUCAAAGGAAUUGACGGGGGCCCGCACAAGCGGAGGAACAUGUGGUUUAAUUCGAUGAUACGCGAGGAACCUUACCCGGGCUUGAAUUGCAACUGAAUGAUGUGGAGACAUGUCAGCCGCAAGGCAGUUGUGAAGGUGCUGCAUGGUUGUCGUCAGCUCGUGUCGUGAGAUGUUGGGUUAAGUCCCGCAACGAGCGCAACCCCUGUUUCUAGUUGCCAGCAUGUAAAGAUGGGAACUCUAGAAAGACUGCCGUAGAUAAUACGGAGGAAGGUGGGGAUGACGUCAAAUCAUCAUGCCCUUUAUGUCCUGGGCUACACACGUACUACAAUGGCGUUAAACAAAGAGAAGCAAGACCGCGAGGUGGAGCAAAACUCAAAAACAACGUCUCAGUUCAGAUUGCAGGCUGCAACUCGCCUGCAUGAAGUCGGAAUUGCUAGUAAUCGCGGAUCAGCAUGCCGCGGUGAAUACGUUCCCGGGCCUUGUACACACCGCCCGUCACACCAUGAGAGUUGGGGAUACCCGAAGCCUGUGAGCCAACAGUUAAAUGGGGCAGCAGUCGAAGGUAGAAUCAAUGAUUGGGGUG
rnacentral:rRNA from 1 species